rnacentral:RNase_P_RNA from 1 species
GUUUUCGGGUAAUUACGGUUAGCUUGACUAGCUGAGGAAAGUCCAUGCUCUCACAAGCUGAGAGUGCUUGUAGUGUUCGUGCUUAGCGAAAAAAUAAGCUAAGGCAGAUGUGUUUCACAUUUGACGGCAGUUAAAACAGCUAAGGCUCUAGGGCUAUGCUGGAGUAGACUUGAAAGUGCCACAGAGACGAAGCAAUAUUAGAAAUAAUAUUGGUGGAACGGGUAAACCCCACGAGAGAGCAACCCAAACAUAAGGUAGGGGCACUUUUUUCUAGGAAAUGAACGAAGAAAAGAGGCAGUCGCAAGAUUGCAGACAGAUUAUUACCGUUACUUUUUGAUCCUGAGAGAAAGUAAUACAGAACAUGGCUUAUAGAA